GUGAGUGUAGCUCAGUGGUAGAGUGUGUGCUUAGCAUGCAGGAGGUCCUGGGUUCAAUCCCCAGUACCUCCA
rnacentral:tRNA from 1 species